rnacentral:lncRNA from 1 species
GUUUAUAUAAUAUUCUGAAAAACGCAAAUGAAUGUACAGAAAGGAAACUGCAGACAAGGGUGAGGGAUGUAAGGAACGGCAGGGUAAAAGAUUGCAGUGGGACACUCGUCAAUGGAACAUAGGUAAGACUUUUGAGGGUCACAUACGUUCAUUCACUUGGUUGUGUUGAUGGUUUCAUGGAUCAAUAUACAAGUUAAAACUCAUCGAAUUGUACAAGUAUCCAAGUUAUUUUAUGUGAACUAUAUCAACUAUAUCUUAUGAAGUUUUAAAGAAUAUAUGUUUCUUAAUUCAAAAAGCAUAUUUUUGUGAGUAAAAAUAUCUAGACAAUCAAUCAUAGAUCUGGAAGAGAUUAAAGACUCUCAUGUUUGGACUUUGUCCUCAGAUUGAUUUGUAUCAAGGCUUUCUGAGAGGGGUCUCCUACUCCUCCUCUUUCUCCCUUUUUCUCCUUUUCUUCCUCCUCCUUCUGCCCUUCUUCUCUUCCUAUUUCUCCUAUCUUUCUCUUUUCCUCUUCUUCUCUCCUUUCCCAUCUUCUCUUUCUUAAUCUAAAACAUUUCCAACUUAACCUCUUAUAUAUCCUUAGUGACAUUUCCUUCCCUCCUCUUUCCUUCUUUUUCUCUUUCACUUUUUUUCUCAGCAUCAGCUUUGCCUGGGGACAUGCUUGUAUUUCUUGGAUUUCUGUAGCCACAUGAACUGUGUUGCAUAUGGUGUUAUUGCAUGUCAGAUCUGAAUCAAAAUACUAAAAAUACUCACUGUUGGAUUUCAGCUUAUUUAUCACAUCUUCAAAGAGCUCUUUUCUCACCUAACACAUAUGGUUUCCCAGUUCUCUGUUCCACUAAACCCUUUACUCCAUCUACUGUAAUACUUUUUAUUCUUUAUUAUAAUUAUUUGUUAAAUAUCCAUUUCUCCUUUUGAUCUGUAAGAUCAUUGAGGGAAUAAAUUAUGUUACUCUAUUUCCUGCCUGCUGUAAAAUAGCCACUAGCAUUUUAUUUGACUGAACUGAAAGAACACCUGUUAGAUUAGAACCCUCUUAUCUAGACAUCAUCUAAUGUAAAAUAUAAACAGAAACCCAGAGAAAAAUCUUCCUAUUUCAAUAUUCACCUACUAUGGGGUAAUCAUAUAGCAAAACCAUGUGU